rnacentral:rRNA from 1 species
GAUAGAUACCCUAUUAUUAAGAGCUAUAUAUUGUUAGUAAAUAUAAAUUACGAAAACAUAAAGUUAUGGCGGUAUUUCAAGCUUAUCAGAGGAAUUUGCUCUGUAAAGGAUAAAACGCCUAAAUCUUACUAAAAUUUGUAAAGUCAGUUUGUAUACCACUAUGAAAGUAAUAUUUUACUAUUAUUACUUCAAUAUUUUAAUUAGGUAAUAAAUUAAGUCAAGGUGCAGCAAAAAUUUUAGAUUGAAGUGAAUUACAUUUCUUUUUAGAGAUUUGAUUUGAAAGUAAAAUUUUAGGAUUUGAAAGUAAAAUUUUAAUAAAAUGAAAAUUUGAAUUAAGCUCUGAAAUAUGUACACAUCGCCCGUCGU